UUCUUAUCGAGAGUGGCGGAGGGACAGGCCCGUUGAUGCCACAGCAACCGGUCCGCAGGGUGCGGAUGCCAGGUGCUAAUUCCUGCCCACCGGAGCCGAAAGGGGCGACGGAGGGAAAGAUGAGGA
rnacentral:ncRNA from 2 species